rnacentral:rRNA from 1 species
AUUGAACGCUGGCGGCAGGCCUAACACAUGCAAGUCGAGCGGAUGAAGCGAGCUUGCUCCUGGAUUCAGCGGCGGACGGGUGAGUAAUGCCUAGGAAUCUGCCUGGUAGUGGGGGAUAACGUCCGGAAACGGGCGCUAAUACCGCAUACGUCCUGAGGGAGAAAGUGGGGGAUCUUCGGACCUCACGCUCUCAGAUGAGCCUAGGUCGGAUUAGAUAGUUGGUGGGGUAAAGGCCUACCAAGGCGACGAUCCGUAACUGGUCUGAGAGGAGGAUAAGUCACACGGGAACUGGGACACGGACAAGAGGACUGAGGGAGGCAGCAGUGGGGAAUAUUAGACAAUAGGCGAAAACCUUGUCCAACCAGGGCGCGUGUGAUAAGAAGGUCUUCGGAGUGUAAAGCACGUUUAGUUGGGAUGAAGGGCAUUAAGUUAAUACCUGGCGGGUGUGACGUUACCAACAGAAGAAGCACCGGCUAACUACGUG